GCUGGGCGAGGUGGCGCACACCUGUCAUCCAAGCAGCUCAGGAGGCUGAGGCAGGAGGAUUGCAAGUUCAACGCCAACCUCUGCAAAAGUGAGGCACUAAACAACUCGGUGAGACCCUGUCUCCA
rnacentral:sRNA from 1 species